AUGAAAAGCCAAUGUCGAGGGAGACGCACGUUGAGAGAAUGAGGAGGAAGGAUAGAAAAUGGCGUGCACGGAUUACAGUACCUACAGCCAAGCUGCAGCCCAGCAGGGCUACAGCGCUUACACCACCCAGCCCACUCAAGGAUAUGCACAGACCACCCAGGCAUAUGGGCAGCAAAGCUAUGGAACCUACGGACAGCCCACUGAGGUCAGCUAUACCCAAGCUCAGACCACUGCGAUCUAUGGGCAGACUGCCUAUGCGACUUCUUAUGGACAGCCUCCCACUGGUUAUACUACUCCAACUGCCCCCCAGGCGUACAGCCAGCCUGUCCAGGGGUAUGGCACUGGUGCUUAUGAUACCACCACUGCUACAGUCACCACCACCCAGGCCUCCUAUGCAGCUCAGUCUGCAUAUGGCAUUCGGCCUGCUUACCCAGCCUAUGGGCAGCAGCCAGCAGUUACCGCACCUACAAGACCUCAAGACGGUAACAAGCCUGCUGAGACUAGUCAGCCUCAGUCUACCACAGGGGGAUGCAACCAACCCAGCCUAGGAUACGGCCAGAGUAACUACAGUUAUCCCCAGGUACCUGGGAACUACCCCAUGCAGCCAGUCACUGCACCUCCAUCCUACCCUCCUACCAGCUAUUCCUCUACACAGCCGACUAGUUAUGAUCAGAGGAGUUACUCUCAGCAGAACACCUAUGGGCGGCCGAGCAGCUAUGGACAGCAGAGUAGCUACGGUCAACAAAGCAGCUAUGGGCAGCAGCCUCCCACUAGUUACCCCCCCAAGUUGGAUCCUACAGCCAGGCUCCAAGUCAAUAUAGCCAACAGAGCAGCAGCUACGGGCAGCAGAGUUCAUUCCGACAGGACCCCCCCAGUAGCAUGGGUGUUUACGGGCAGGAGCCUGGAGGAUUUUCCGGACCAGGAGAGAACCGGAGCAUGAGUGGCCCUGAUAACCGGGGCAGGGGAAGAGGGGGAUUUGAUCGUGGAGGCGUGAGCAGAGGUGGGCGGGGAGGAGGACGCGGUGGAAUGGGCACUGGAGAGCGAGGUGGCUUCAAUAAGCCUGGCGGACCCAUGGACAAAGGACCAGAUCUUGAUCUAGGCCCGCCUGUAGAUCCGGAUGAAGACUCUGACAACAGUGCAAUUUAUGUGCAAGGAAUAAAUGACAAUGUGACUCUAGAUGAUGGGGCAGACUUCUUUAAGCAAUGUGUGGUUGUUAAGAUGAACAAGGGAACUGGGCAACCCAUGAUCCACAUCUACCUGGACAAGGAAACGGGAAAGCCCAAAGGUGACGCCACAGUGUCCUAUGAAGACCCACCAACUGCCAAGGCUGCCGUGGAGUGGUUUGAUGGGAAAGACUUUCAAGGGAGCAAACUUAAAGUCUCUCUUGCUCGGAAGAAGCCUCCAAUGAACAGCAUGCAGGGUGGUAUGCCACCCUGUGAGGGCAGAGGAGUGCCACCGCCACUCUGUGGAGCUCCAGGAGGCCGAGGAGGUCCUGGGGGCCCCAUGGGUCGCAUGGGAGGCUGUGGAGGACAUAGAGAAGGUUUCCCUCCAAGGGGGCCCCGAGGUUCUCGAGGGAACCCCUCUGGAGGAGGCAAUGUCUCCACUGUGCCACUACUGCUAGCAUCACCACUAUUGAGUAUUUGUUGUCACAAGAACCACCAUGCACAAUCUCUCUUGCUACUGAGCUUUCGAGUCACUUCCCCAAGAUGA